rnacentral:rRNA from 1 species
GACGAACGCUGGCGGCGUGCUUAACACAUGCAAGUCGAACGAAGAGCGACGGAAGCUUGCUUCUAUCAAUCUUAGUGGCGAACGGGUGAGUAACGCGUAAUCAACCUGCCCUUCAGAGGGGGACAACAGUUGGAAACGACUGCUAAUACCGCAUACGAUCUAAUCUCGGCAUCGAGGAUGGAUGAAAGGUGGCCUCUACAUGUAAGCUAUCACUGAAGGAGGGGAUUGCGUCUGAUUAGCUAGUUGGAGGGGUAACGGCCCACCAAGGCGAUGAUCAGUAGCCGGUCUGAGAGGAUGAACGGCCACAUUGGGGCUGAGACACGGCCCAGACUCCUACGGGAGGCAGCAGUGGGGAAUCUUCCGCAAUGGACGAAAGUCUGACGGAGCAACGCCGCGUGAGUGAUGACGGCCUUCGGGUUGUAAAGCUCUGUUAAUCGGGACGAAAGGCCUUCUUGCGGAUAGUGAGAAGGAUUGACGGUACCGGAAUAGAAAGCCACGGCUAACUACGUG